rnacentral:lncRNA from 11 species
CUUUAAGCCACACUCUCUGGUUGUUACAGCUGUAAUGUAAGAACUACUGAUUGCUGGGAUAUAUAGCUUUUGUGCACCCAAAGCCUCAGCAGCCUUCCUAAUGUUUGAAUAAACUCUUUCCUACAAGACUCUGCUGGCUGUUGAGCUUCCUUCAUACGAAGAAUAUUACAUGGUGUCAGAAGUGGGAUACAAACCUCUCCUGUGCUACAACCUGGAAGCUAGCAUCCCCCGAAAAAGGAGUGUUUAGACAUGGAGUCAUUUCGUCCUCCUCCUCCCCUUGCUAUGCAAGGUAAUUUGGCUGAGAACUGGAGACGGUGGGAACAGGCCUUUCAGUUGUAUCUUGCUGCAGCGGGACUUGAGAAUGUGUCAAAGAAGCGGCAGAUAGCUAUCCUGCUACAUUGUGUGGGAGAGGAAGGAGUUUCUUUAUAUAAUACAUUUGUUUUUGCCGAGGAGAACCCGAAAGAUAUUGCAGAGGUUCUGGAACAGUUUAGGACUUAUUUUUUACCUCGGAAGAACAUUGUGUUUGAAAGGUUUUGUUUCUGGAACCAUAUGCAGAGUCCUGGAGUUACAAAUGUGCAAUUUAUUGCUGAGCUAAAACUGAAAGCAGCCAGCUGUGAAUUUGGAAUGGCAGUUAAUGAGAUGAUAAGAGAUAAAGUUGUUUUUAGUUUACAGCAAGAGAAACUGAAACAAAAGUUGUUACAAGAAGCCGAUCUUACACUUGAGAAGGCCGUGGAGAUAUGCCGGGUUGAUGAGACAACGAGAGCUCAGCUGAGAACCAUGGCAAUAACAUCGGAAGAAGGAGUGUUUGAAUUACAAGACAGCCAUGGAGAAAACAAAGAGAUUAUAACUCAAGCUCUGGGAACCAGGGAGUCAAGACACAGAGACAAUUGGAAAAAUCAGAAUAAGUGUGGUUAUUGUGGUACAGCUCAUGAACCUCGGAGAUGUCCAGCAUUUGGAAAGACCUGCAACAAGUGUGGCAAGAAAAAUCAUUAUGCCAGGUUAUGCAGGUCAAGGGUGACCAAUCCUGUGAAUAUACAAGCCAGACAACACAUUCAUGAGUUGAAUGAUUCCUAUUAACGUGCGUCAAGAUCUACAAAGAGCUCAGGAAAGACAGAAACAUUUUUAUGAUCGAACAGCAAGACCCCUCAAACCACUAAGAGGGGGAUUUAGUAUGGAUGCAAUCCAAUAAUUGCAAAGAAAGAUGGCUUCCCGCCGUUGUGAUAGAAAAAUGUAAACAGCCUCGGUCAUAUCUAAUAAAGAAUCAGGACGGUCGCGUAUAUCGGCGUAAUAGGCGUCAAUUAAAACAACGGAACCAAACACCCGAAACUACAAUUCAAGGAAAUACAACAUAUAAUGGUUCUAAAGGGAUGUCUGUGAACAAAAGUGACGCACAUGUAAUAGCAGAUAGAAAGCCAACGUAUGUGACAUCGCAUGGCAGGCCUGUGUUUGAACCUGUAAGGUACACUCCUUAGAAGGAUGGUGCUGAAGACCAUCCUCAACGGUGGGCUAAGUACUAGUGACCUCUGGCCCCAUAGAAGACAUAUUUUCUUACCUGUCUAGUGAUGUAACGAAUCUGCCAAGUUUUAAUGAGAGACUUUUGUAAUUUUGAUAUAUGAUUUUUUUAACACUUUUAUAAAAUGAAUUUUGUUUUGUCUUGUCAGAUGUGUAGUUAUUAUGUAUGAAGGGGAGAUGUGGUAUACUGUGCCUUUAAGCCACACUCUCUGGUUGUUACAGCUGUAAUGUAAGAACUACUGAUUGCUGGGAUAUAUAGCUUUUGUGCACCCAAAGCCUCAGCAGCCUUCCUAAUGUUUGAAUAAACUCUUUCCUACAAGACUCUGCUGGCUGUUGAGCUUCAUUCAUACGAAGAAUAUUACAGGUGUCAUGUAGUCAUGCCAGCCACAUGAUCUUGGAGGUGUCUAUGGACAACGUCGGCUCUUUGGCUUAGAAAUGGGGAUGAGCACCAACUCCCAGAAUUGGACACGACUGGACUUAAUGUCAGGGGAAAGCCUUUACCUAUGCAAGGUUAGAUAUGUGUAGGUCAUGCAACUUUGAAUGCAUUGGUGAAACUGAUGCUCAUUAAAGUGAAAUAGCAAACAGCUCACACGGGAGAACUUUGAACAAGUUCAGCAACACAGUCAUGAAACCCCAUUCAAGUUGCUGGAUUUCUUGAAGUUCUAUUCCUGAGAACCUAUUAUUUUGCCUUGAUCUUUCAUCUGAAGUCAUACACCUUGCUUUCCAAGGUCUCAGUUCUGACGACUUCUAUCUCAGAUACUCUUCAUGUGUUUCAGGUUCUUUGAAUGAUGUGACAUGUUUAUUUUCCCA